GGGGCAGCAUUUUAGUUUGCUUGCAAACUGAAGAUGGCGACCGGCGCACGGGUGAGUAACACGUAUCCAACCUGCCGAUAACUCCGGAAUAGCCUUUCGAAAGAAAGAUUAAUACCGGAUAGCAUACGAAUAUCGCAUGAUAUUUUUAUUAAAGAAUUUCGGUUAUCGAUGGGGAUGCGUUCCAUUAGUUUGUUGGCGGGGUAACGGCCCACCAAGACUACGAUGGAUAGGGGUUCUGAGAGGAAGGUCCCCCACAUUGGAACUGAGACACGGUCCAAACUCCUACGGGAGGCAGCAGUGAGGAAUAUUGGUCAAUGGGCGAGAGCCUGAACCAGCCAAGUAGCGUGAAGGAUGAAGGCUCUAUGGGUCGUAAACUUCUUUUAUAUGGGAAUAAAGUUUUCCACGUGUGGAAUUUUGUAUGUACCAUAUGAAUAAGGAUCGGCUAACUCCGUGCCAGCAGCCGCGGUAAUACGGAGGAUCCGAGCGUUAUCCGGAUUUAUUGGGUUUAAAGGGAGCGUAGGUGGAUUGUUAAGUCAGUUGUGAAAGUUUGCGGCUCAACCGUAAAAUUGCAGUUGAAACUGGCAGUCUUGAGUACAGUAGAGGUGGGCGGAAUUCGUGGUGUAGCGGUGAAAUGCUUAGAUAUCACGAAGAACUCCGAUUGCGAAG
rnacentral:rRNA from 1 species